rnacentral:rRNA from 1 species
GUAACACCUAGUCAACCUGCCCUGGAGACAUGGAAAACCCCGGGAAACUGGGAUUAAUCCGUGAUAGGUCACCUCAUCUGGAAGGAGAGAUGGCUUAAAGGGGUGCGAGAGCUUCUUUCUUGCAUUCGCUCCAGGAUGGGACUGCGGCCGAUCAGGCUGUUGGCGGUGUAAUGGACCACCAAACCUGUAACCGGUACGGGCCUUGAGAGAGGGGGCCCGGAGAUGGACACUGAGAGAAGGGUCCAGGUCCUACGGGGCGCAGCAGGCGCGAAACCUUCGCAAUGCGCGAAAGCGUGACGAGGUUAAUCCGAGUGGUCCCCGCUGAGGGGAUCUUUUGUUGGCUGUAAAAAGGCCGAUGAAUAAGGGGAGGGCAAGUCUGGUGUCAGCCGCCGCGGUAAUACCAGCUCCUCGAGUGGUCGGGGCGAUUAUUGGGCCUAAAGCAUCCGUAGCCGGUUCUGUAGGUCCUCUGUCAAAUCCAACGGCUUAACCGUUGGCCCGCAGAGGAUACCGCAGGACU